GAGGGUAUAGCUCAAGUGGUAGAGCACAUGCUUAGCAUGCACGAGGUCCUGGGUUCAAUCCCCAGCACCUCCU
rnacentral:tRNA from 1 species